AACGCACAUUGCGCCCGCCAGUAUUCUGGCGGGCAUGCCUGUUCGAGCGUCAUUUCAGCCCUCAAGCCCUGCUUGGUGUUGGGGACCGGCCCGCCGCAAGCCCCCCUCGGCUGGCGGGCCGCCCCCGAAAUGAAUCGGCGGUCUCGUCGCAGCCUCCUCUGCGUAGUAGCCUUGAAAACCUCGCACUUGGAGCGCGACGCGGCCACUGCCGUAAAACGCCCAACUUUAAGAGUUGACCUCGAAUCAGGUAGGAAUACCCGCUGAACUUAA
rnacentral:misc_RNA from 1 species